rnacentral:lncRNA from 1 species
AUUACCCAAAUGAUCAAUUGAAUUUUCACAAUUUACUGUACUUAUUAUGUUUGACUUGUAUUUUCUAACUGAUCAAACCUUAUGUUCACACUUCUCUGUACCAUAUUAUACUUUUUUUCCAAAACAAUCACUUUUUAUAGUGCUAAUUUUACUUGUAUUUGCUGAAUGAAUAAUUUAAGUUCAAACUUCACCUACUAUAAAUUAUUUUUGUUAUCACCAAAGUCCAUAACGAACAUAAUAUUCAUACUUGUAUUAUAUUUGACUUGUUUUUUCCAAAUGAUCAAACUAACAUCCACACUUUGUUGUAUUAUAUUUUAUUUGUAGUAUCAAAAUUACCCACUAAAUGAUUUCAUUGUAUUAUAUUUACUUGUAUUUUCCAAAGGAUCAAUUUAAUGUACACAGUUCAUUGUUUUAUAUUUUAUUUGUAUUUGUAUUUUUGUGCCAGUGGCAGAUCAAGAAAUGUUGAUUAGAGGGGGGCCCGCUUUAGUCAUGCUUCAGUGAUUUCCUAUAUAUUCAACCAAAAUGUUCCCCACAAAAGGUGGGAUGGGUCCACUCUCCCCCCCCCCCCCCCCUAAAUGACAAACUAAUGUUUACAUCU